GAUGAACGCUGGCGGCGUGCCUAAUACAUGCAAGUCGAGCGAACAGAUAAGGAGCUUGCUCCUUUGAAGUUAGCGGCGGACGGGUGAGUAACACGUGGGUAACCUACCUAUAAGACUGGGAUAACUUCGGGAAACCGGAGCUAAUACCGGAUAACAUUUAGAACCGCAUGGUUCUAAAGUGAAAGAUGGUUUUGCUAUCACUUAUAGAUGGACCCGCGCCGUAUUAGCUAGUUGGUAAGGUAACGGCUUACCAAGGCGACGAUACGUAGCCGACCUGAGAGGGUGAUCGGCCACACUGGAACUGAGACACGGUCCAGACUCCUACGGGAGGCAGCAGUAGGGAAUCUUCCGCAAUGGGCGAAAGCCUGACGGAGCAACGCCGCGUGAGUGAUGAAGGGUUUCGGCUCGUAAAACCCUGUUAUUAGGGAAGAACAAAUGUGUAAGUAACUGUGCACAUCUUGACGGUACCUAAUCAGAAAGCCACGGCCAACUACGUGCCAGCCGCCGCGGUAAUAC
rnacentral:rRNA from 1 species